rnacentral:lncRNA from 1 species
GGGAUUCCAGAGAGCUCAGGCAGCCGGCCCUGAGCCCCAGGCUGAUCAGCCUUGUUAGACACAUUAGAGUUAAGAAUCCAAAAAGCUGUGUUUAAUGAUCGUGUAUUGGCUGGCAUCCAAAGAAAAAUUGCUUCACUUCUAAAUAUCCAUGACAUAACUGUAUGUCUAAUAGGAGGACCUGUAAAGUACCAUUUGUUGUUGCAUCCGGCAAGUCUGUGUUCUGCGCCUCCCAGACUGAAAUUUGUAAUUCAUAUUUCUUUUGGCCGGCACUUUGGAACGAAUGCCCAAAAGGUAUAUUACUUUUACAAGAGAUUCUUGCAAAUAUGCCGUGGGUUCUUCUCUGAGUACAACCUCUCAUUCUGUCUUAGGCCAGACUGUUUGUUAGAGAGGACCCUGUCACUUAUCCUGGUAGUUAAAAUGUAGAAACAACCUCUCCUUGGACGGAUUCUUCCCUUUUUGAAAAAUUGCCACAGCAAAUUCCCCAGCCUGCCAAGUUGGCAGAUUCUAAGCCCAAAGCUGGAGCCCGGCCAGGCACCAAUGACGCAUUCCAAACCUCUGAGUCAGCAUCCAACUCCAUGCCACUCUGUCUUCUGUGAGGAAAGCAGCCCAUGCCACAGAAUCAUCGCUAGCCAAAGACUAAACUUGCUCCUGAAACUAAAACAACUUUUAUGUAGCGGUUUCAUAACCCAGAGUGGAGAAGACUGAGAAAACCGCCAGUUCUGGAAAGUUCUGAUAUUGGGAAGGAUUUCUCUCGAAGUUUGGUGGAUUUGAGCCUGGCUGUUUUUGAGAGUGGGAGAGAGAAGUCUGAAUAAUUUUUUGGCUGGAGUUGUAAAACACAGGUCCUGACCCCUUGUCGUCAUUAAAGAUCCCAUGGGCUCUUUUGAAAGGACUUAGAGGGAUUAACCUUUCUGUUCUGGCUAAAUUCCUAAUUGGAUAAUUGCAUUCUGCCUCCCUAAAUUAUCCCUGUAGCUCCAAUUGGAUAUGGAAUUUUCACUUCCUGUCAUAAAGAGUUGUAGGGUGUUACAACAUUUCACCCCAGGGGUGAUACCAAUUAAGUCGUUAGCGAGGUGAAAUCUGUAUGUGGGUUGUCUUCCUUUUUUUCUCCUCUUUUCCCACCUCUUUAUUUGGAGUUUCAAAUGUGUGGGAAUCAUUCAAUCCUGUGGAAUGAAAAGGCAUGUCAUAAGUUAGCAACAGUGCUUCUUGCCACGUUACUUUUAAGACUACAGGCAACCAAUAAUUGAUAAGCCUGCACAGAGAGCAUCACCAUGCUAAAGAGAACCAAAGCAAACUGCAUGAAAUGCCAGGGCCCAAACCUGGGGCCACCAUGAUAUGAGGAGGGCAACAUGAAGUAUCCUAAAAGCAAGUUCACGGAUUGUGCGUCUUAUGGGGCAAGGUGUGGGCAGCUCUGUGCGCUGGCUUGCCUCUGAGGCUUUGUGGAGAGUCAGCUCGGUAUUCAAAGAAACACUUGGGCCUGGGGACAGGGCCAAGGGGAGUCAAUGUCUCUCCUGAAUAUGGAUGCAGGCAUUAACCAUGAGCAGAUUACACAUGCACUUGAUUUGAAAAGUAAAGGUCACACAUCAGUCUCCCCGGCUGUAUGUAUUCACAUUGAAAAUCAUUGCCCAUGGAAUCACCUUUGAACCUAAAAAGCACCAGCAGCAGCAGCUGUGUGUUUACCCGGAGUGGAGGGAAAAGUUAAUCAUCAGCUUAUUUGCAUUAUUUGCUUUUUUCACAAAUUUGAUUUGAAGUCAGUCAAGACAGUCUGCUCGGACCCACUGUAUUUAUUUUUAUUCCUUUCGUAGACUAGCACCAGAGAUGUUUUAUCAGCACAUAAUGACUUUCAGUUUUUAAUAAAAAUUGUGGAUGAAUUCUUCA